CACCCAGGACGGUGGAUCACUCGGCUCGUGGGUCGAUGAAGAACGCAGCAAAUUGCGCGUCGACAUGUGAACUGCAGGACACACGAACAUCGACGUUUCGAACGCACAUUGCGGUCCAUGGAUUCCGUUCCCGGGCCACGUCUGGCUGAGGGUCG
rnacentral:rRNA from 1 species